rnacentral:rRNA from 1 species
CUACGGGAGGCAGCAGUGAGGAAUAUUGGGCAAUGGGGGAAACCCUGACCCAGCAAUGCCGCGUGCGGGAAGACGCCUUUCGGGGUGUAAACCGCUUUUCUGCAUGAAGAGGAAGGACGGUAGUGCAGGAAGAAGCCCCGGCUAACUACGUGCCAGCAGCCGCGGUAACACGUAGGGGGCAAGCGUUGUCCGGAUUUACUGGGCGUAAAGAGCUCGUAGGUGGUUUGUCGCGUUGUCCGUGAAAACUCACAGCUUAACUGUGGGCGUGCGGGCGAUACGGGCAGACUGGAGUACUGCAGGGGAGACUGGAAUUCCUGGUGUAGCGGUGGAAUGCGCAGAUAUCAGGAGGAACACCGGUGGCGAAGGCGGGUCUCUGGGCAGUAACUGACGCUGAGGAGCGAAAGCGUGGGGAGCGAACAGGAUUAGAAACCCCUGUAGUCC